CAGGCAGCUGGCCUCCCCCGGAUUGAAGAUUCUGACAGGAGCCCUCUCCAUGCACCUCCAGUCCCUCUCUGAGCACGUCUCAGCUAUUUAUUUGGUACCUAAUAUGUGCUGGACCUUCUGCUUGGUGCUGAGCACACAGGCCCCCAGACUGUGAGGCUCUCAUGCAGUCAUGGUGAUGAUGUGCAAGUAUGGUUUGACAGAGCUGGGAAGCAAAUAUUAUCUUAAAUAAAUCUACUCUUCGGAAGCUUUUCAGGUAAAGAAAUCCUACAAAUAAAAAGUGAAGAUGGACAACCCAAAAGAAAAACUUUUCAGGACAAAGCAUCUGAAACAAAUGUGUUUAAAAGA